CGAAGGGUGCAAGCGUUGUUCGGAAUCACUGGGCGUAAAGAAUGCGUAGGCGGCUAGACAAGUCAGGAGUGAAAUCCCAGGGCUCAACCCUGGAACUGCUCUUGAAACUGUCUUGCUAGAGUCCCGGAGGGGUUAGCGGAAUUCCGAGUGUAGAGGUGAAAUUCGCAGAUAUUCGGAGGAACACCAGUGGCGAAGGCGGCUAACUGGACGGGAACUGACGCUGAGGCAUGAAAGUGUGGGGAUCAAACAGGAUUAGAUACCCUGGUAGUCCACACCGUAAACGAUGUGUGCUAGUUGUCGGGCAGCUUUGCUGUUCGGUGACGGAGCUAACGUUUUAAGCACACCGCCUGGGAAGUACGGCCGCAAGGUUA
rnacentral:rRNA from 1 species